rnacentral:tRNA from 1 species
GUGUUCGUUGUAUAGUGGUCAGCACACUCGGUUCGUAUUCGAGAGGUCAGUGGUUCGACUCCCGGCGAGAGCA